GACGAACGCUGGCGGCGUGCUUAACACAUGCAAGUCGAACGGAAAGGCCCUGCUUUUGUGGGGUGCUCGAGUGGCGAACGGGUGAGUAACACGUGAGUAACCUGCCCUUGACUUUGGGAUAACUUCAGGAAACUGGGGCUAAUACCGGAUAGGAGCUCCUGCUGCAUGGUGGGGGUUGGAAAGUUUCGGCGGUUGGGGAUGGACUCGCGGCUUAUCAGCUUGUUGGUGGGGUAGUGGCUUACCAAGGCUUUGACGGGUAGCCGGCCUGAGAGGGUGACCGGCCACAUUGGGACUGAGAUACGGCCCAGACUCCUACGGGAGGCAGCAGUGGGGAAUAUUGCACAAUGGGCGGAAGCCUGAUGCAGCAACGCCGCGUGCGGGAUGACGGCCUUCGGGUUGUAAACCGCUUUCGCCUGUGACGAAGCGUGAGUGACGGUAAUGGGUAAAGAAGCACCGGCUAACUACGUGCCAGCAGCCGCGGUGAUACGUAGGGUGCGAGCGUUGUCCGGAUUUAUUGGGCGUAAAGGGCUCGUAGGUGGUUGAUCGCGUCGGAAGUGUAAUCUUGGGGCUUAACCCUGAGCGUGCUUUCGAUACGGGUUGACUUGAGGAAGGUAGGGGAGAAUGGAAUUCCUGGUGGAGCGGUGGAAUGCGCAGAUAUCAGGAGGAACACCAGUGGCGAAGGCGGUUCUCUGGGCCUUUCCUGACGCUGAGGAACGAAAGCGUGGGGAGCGAACAGGCUUAGAUACCCUGGUAGUCCACGCUGUAAACGGUGGGUACUAGGUGUGGGGUCCAUUCCACGGGUUCCGUGCCGUAGCUAACGCUUUAAGUACCCCGCCUGGGGAGUACGGCCGCAAGGCUAAAACUCAAAGGAAUUGACGGGGCCCCGCACAAGCGGCGGAGCAUGCGGAUUAAUUCGAUGCAACGCGUAGAACCUUACCUGGGUUUGACAUGGAUCGGGAGUGCUCAGAGAUGGGUGUGCCUCUUUUGGGGUCGGUUCACAGGUGGUGCAUGGCUGUCGUCAGCUCGUGUCGUGAGAUGUUGGGUUAAGUCCCGCAACGAGCGCAACCCUUGUUCACUGUUGCCAGCACGUUAUGGUGGGGACUCAGUGGAGACCGCCGGGGUCAACUCGGAGGAAGGUGGGGAUGACGUCAAGUCAUCAUGCCCCUUAUGUCCAGGGCUUCACGCAUGCUACAAUGGCUGGUACAGAGAGUGGCGAGCCUGUGAGGGUGAGCGAAUCUCGGAAAGCCGGUCUCAGUUCGGAUUGGGGUCUGCAACUCGACCUCAUGAAGUCGGAGUCGCUAGUAAUCGCAGAUCAGCAACGCUGCGGUGAAUACGUUCCCGGGGCU
rnacentral:rRNA from 1 species